UACGUAGGGUGCGAGCGUUAAUCGGAAUUACUGGGCGUAAAGCGUGCGCAGGCGGUUUUGUAAGUCAGAUGUGAAAUCCCCGGGCUCAACCUGGGAACUGCGUUUGAAACUACAAGACUAGAAUAUGUCUGAGGGGGGUAGAAUUCCACGUGUAGCAGUGAAGUGCGUAGGGAUGUGGAGGAAUACCGAUGGCGAAGGCGGCCCCCUGGGAUAAUAUUGACGCUCAUGCACGAAAGCGUGGGGAGCAAACAGG
rnacentral:rRNA from 1 species